GUUACCUGGUUGAUUCUGCC
rnacentral:rRNA from 1 species